GGCGCCGUGGCGUAGUGGUUAGCGCGCCUGACUCUAACCCAGAGGUAAAUGGGUUCAAGGCUCGUCGCUGCUA
rfam:Ciona intestinalis ciona0433, whole genome shotgun sequence.